UACGGAGGAUGCGAGCGUUAUCCGGAUUUAUUGGGUUUAAAGGGUGCGUAGGCGGAUCGUUAAGUCAGUGGUCAAAUUGAGGGGCUCAACCCCUUCCCGCCAUUGAAACUGGCGAUCUUGAGUGGAAGAGAAGUAUGCGGAAUGCGUGGUGUAGCGGUGAAAUGCAUAGAUAUCACGCAGAACCCCGAUUGCGAAGGCGGCCUGCUGGACUGCAACUGACGUUGAGGCCCGAAAGCGUGGGGAGCAAACAGG
rnacentral:rRNA from 1 species